CACAGUUUGAUUGUUCUCUUUGUUCCGGUGUGGAAAUACUGAUUGAAGGUAAAUACGUGGGUGGGCAGUCUGGAGAAAAUGACAAUGCCAUGCUCGUGGAAGCAACAGGCUCGCGCCAUCUAUCUACAUGGCUGUCAGAGGUUAUCAUUUUAAUUGGACACACUAAUCUGGACAAAACCGGUCUAAAACAAUACACGGCCCGUAAUGGUAGACAAUCCAUCGUCUGACUGGCGCUAAAUAUCGACUACUCGACGAUGGUAGUUCAGCGAAGGCAGCAUCUCCGGGAUCUUCUACCUGAAAUC